GGUUAAGCGACUAAGCGUACACGGUGGAUGCCCUGGCAGUCAGAGGCGAUGAAGGACGUGCUAAUCUGCGAAAAGCGUCGGUAAGGUGAUAUGAACCGUUAUAACCGGCGAUGUCCGAAUGGGGAAACCCAGUGCAAUUCGUUGCACUAUCGUUAACUGAAUACAUAGGUUAACGAGGCGAACCGGGGGAACUGAAACAUCUAAGUACCCCGAGGAAAAGAAAUCAACCGAGAUUCCCCCAGUAGCGGCGAGCGAACGGGGAGCAGCCCAGAGUCUGAAUCAGCUUGUGUGUUAGUGGAACGGUCUGGAAAGUCCGACGGUACAGGGUGAUAGUCCCGUACACCAAAAUGCACAGGCUGUGAACUCGAAGAGUAGGGCGGGACACGUGGUAUCCUGUCUGAAUAUGGGGGGACCAUCCUCCAAGGCUAAAUACUCCUGACUGACCGAUAGUGAACCAG
rnacentral:rRNA from 1 species